rnacentral:rRNA from 1 species
UGCCAGCAGCCGCGGUAAUACGGAGGAUCCAAGCGUUAUCCGGAAUCAUUGGGUUUAAAGGGUCCGUAGGCGGUUUGAUAAGUCAGUGGUGAAAGCCCUACGCUCAACGUAGGAACGGCCAUUGAUACUGUUAGACUUGAAUUAUUUGGAAGUAACUAGAAUAUGUAGUGUAGCGGUGAAAUGCUUAGAGAUUACAUGGAAUACCAAUUGCGAAGGCAGGUUACUACAAAUGGAUUGACGCUGAUGGACGAAAGCGUGGGUAGCGAACAGGAUUAGAUACCCUGGUAGUCCACGCCGUAAACGAUGGAUACUAGCUGUUGGGAGCAAUCUCAGUGGCUAAGCGAAAGUUAUAAGUAUCCCACCUGGGGAGUACGUUCGCAAGAAUGAAACUCAAAGGAAUCGACGGGGGCCCGCACAAGCGGUGGAGCAUGUGGUCUAAUUCGAUGAUACGCGAGGAACCUUACCAAGGCUUAAAUGUAGUUUGACCGGUUUGGAAACAGAUCUUUCGCAAGACAAAUUACAAGGUGCUGCAUGGUUGUCGUCAGCUCGUGCCGUGAGGUGUCAGGUUAAGUCCUAUAACGAGCGCAACCCCUGUUGUUAGUUGCCAGCGAGUCAUGUCGGGAACUCUAGCAAGACUGCCAGUGUAAACUGUGAGGAAGGUGGGGAUGACGUCAAAUCAUCACGGCCCUUACGCCUUGGGCUACACACGUGCUACAAUGGCCGGUACAGAAAGCAGCCACUGCGCAAGCAGGAGCGAAUCUACAAAACCGGUCUCAGUUCGGAUCGGAAUCUGCAACUCGACUCCGUGAAGCUG